rnacentral:rRNA from 1 species
GACGAACGCUGGCGGCGUGCCUAACACAUGCAAGUCGAACGGUAAGGCCCUUCGGGGUACACGAGUGGCGAACGGGUGAGUAACACGUGGGUGAUCUGCCCUGCACUUCGGGAUAAGCCUGGGAAACUGGGUCUAAUACCGGAUAGGACCACUGCCUGCAUGGGUGGGGGUGGAAAGCUUUUGCGGUGUGGGAUGGGCCCGCGGCCUAUCAGCUGGUUGGUGGGGUGAUGGCCUACCAAGGCGACGACGGGUAGCCGGCCUGAGAGGGUGACCGGCCACACUGGGACUGAGAUACGGCCCAGACUCCUACGGGAGGCAGCAGUGGGGAAUAUUGCACAAUGGGCGCAAGCCUGAUGCAGCGACGCCGCGUGAGGGAUGACGGCCUUCGGGUUGUAAACCUCUUUCAGCACCGACGAAGCGCAAGUGACGGUAGGUGCAGAAGAAGGACCGGCCAACUACGUGCCAGCCGCCGCCGUAA